GCCGGUGUCACGUACCUGUAGUCCCAGCUACUCGGGAGGCUGAGGCUGGAGGAUCACUUGAGUCCAGGAGUUCUGGGCUGUAGUGCGCUGUGCCAAUCAGGUGUCUGCACUAAGUUCGGCAUCAAUAUGGUGACCUCCCGGGAGCGGGGACCACCAGGUUGCCUAAGGAGGGGUGAACCAGCCCAGGUUGGAAACGGAGCAGGUCAAAACUCCUGUGCUGAUCAGCAGUGGGAUCGCACUUGUGAAUAGCCACCACACUCCAGCCUGGGCAACAUAGCAAGACCCUAUCUCU
rnacentral:SRP_RNA from 1 species